AUCGAACGCUGGAGGCAGGCAUGACACAUGCAAGUCGAACGAGGGGCGGAUGGGUGAGUAAUGUCUGGGCAACUGCCUGAUGGAGGGGGAUAACUACGUGAAACGGAAGCUAAUACCGCAUACUAUCAGAUGUCCCCAGAUGGGAUUAGCUUGUUGGUGGGGUAACGGCUAACCAAGUCGACGAUCACUAGCUGGGCUGAGAGGAUGACCAGCCCCACUGGAACUGAGACACGGUCCAGACUCCUACGGGAGGCAGCAGUUGGGAAUAUUGCACAAUGGGCGAAAGCCUGAUGCAGCCAUGCCGCGUGUGUGAAGAAGGCCUUCGGGUUGUAAAGUACUUCCAGCGGGGAGGCGUUACCCGCAGAAGAAGCACCGGCUAACUCCGUGCCAGCAGCCGCGGUAAUUC
rnacentral:rRNA from 1 species